UACGUAGGGCGCAAGCGUUGUCCGGAUUUAUUGGGCGUAAAGAGCUCGUAGGCGGUUUGUCGCGUCUGCUGUGAAAUCCCGAGGCUCAACCUCGGGCCUGCAGUGGGUACGGGCAAACUAGAGUGCGGUAGGGGAGAUUGGAAUUCCUGGUGUAGCGGUGGAAUGCGCAGAUAUCAGGAGGAACACCGAUGGCGAAGGCAGAUCUCUGGGCCGUAACUGACGCUGAGGAGCGAAAGCGUGGGGAGCGAACAGG
rnacentral:rRNA from 1 species